rnacentral:rRNA from 1 species
ACGGAAGGCAGCAGUGGGGAAUAUUGCACAAUGGGGGAAACCCUGAUGCAGCGACGCCGCGUGAGUGAUGAAGUAUUUCGGUAUGUAAAGCUCUAUCAGCAGGAAAGAUAAUGACGGUACCUGACUAAGAAGCACCGGCUAAAUACGUGCCAGCAGCCGCGGUAAUACGUAUGGUGCAAGCGUUAUCCGGAUUUACUGGGUGUAAAGGGAGCGCAGACGGCAUGGCAAGCCAGAUGUGAAAGGCAGGGGCUCAACUCCUGGACUGCAUUUGGAACUGUCAAGCUAGAGUAUCGGAGAGGUAAGUGGAAUUCCCAGUGUAGCGGUGAAAUGCGUAGAGAUUGGGAGGAACACCAGUGGCGAAGGCGACUUACUGGGCCGUAACUGACGCUGAGGCGCGAAAGCGUGGGGAGCGAACAGGAUUAGAUACCCUGGUA